GUGUGUGUGCGUGUGUUGGGGGAUGGGGUGGUGGUUAGCAGAGAGCAUGUAAGGGAUCUCAGCUAACAGAUAGUGAGAAAUGCCAAGUUAUGGCCAGAGCAGAGGAGACACAGGUGACUUUGAGGAGAGGAGGAUGGGUAGCCCUUAGCUGUUUUCUCUAUCUCCAAGAAUGUGUGUGUGCACAAACACUCACCUGUGUGCAUCGGCAUGCCGUCCUGAGGCAUUGUACUUGUUAAAGGUUAUUAGGGAACAUGUUUGGCUCUAAUCAGUGGAGGACUACAGGGACCCUCGCCUAAAUGUCUCAUCAUCAGAGGGCCAAGUGGUGAUAAAUCUAGCCCCAAGUGCCCAGAGGGCCUGUAGGUACACUGCCAAGCCUGUACUAUAUGUCUUGAGCUUUUCAGCUGCAAAGUAACAGCCUGUACUGUACAUCAACACUUGGGGAUAAAAUUUGGGCAUAUUCUUACAGUAUAGCUAAUAAGAAUAUCAGCAUUGUAGAAUUGAUCACAACUACACAGUGAAAAGACUUGAACAUGAGCAUAUUCUCAUGACACACUUUAGUUGUAUUUUUGUUGUUAACGUUAAAAUCAUCCUUUAAGGCGAAGAUUUUUGUGUUAAUGUUUCAGCGGCUUUUUAACACCCCCACCCCCAAAUCUAUGAUCUAGCCAGAGGCAAGCAGACAUGUAAUGUUAAGGCACUAACUACAGAGUGUAUGGAUACACACACCAGAAAGACGUUCAUGUGUGAAAUGAGAUCUCCGCACAAUCAGUGGGAGUUGUAGCCAUAAAGCACAUCAGGCUUUUCAGCUUUAAGGUAUCAUUGAACAAAUCGCACAAAUCUUUUCACUUGAUGACUGUGGCUGCAUUCUGGUAACAACUGUGUGUCUUUUUUUCUUCUUCACAGAUGGACAUUCAAAGAUGAAACUGAGUUUUGGGUCCAGCUGUGAGAGGUCUUUCUUUUUUCGGAGCAGAGAAUGACAGAAAAUGACAGUAACAAAUAACACUACACUGAUUUUUUUUAUUCCUAAAAACACCCCAAAAUUUUAUCAGUUCUGUUACCUUUUAUUCUUGCAACCUUAAUAAACUGUAAUUUAGACACAAAUGAAUUCAGUAACACAAAAACUCUCAUUUGAAAAAGCUGCAAAUAACAUUUACUGUAUUUAGCUCGAAAAUUGUAGAAUGUCUAAUUACAAAUCAGAACAUUUUUUUCACUCAAGACAGAGAGACAAUCCUGACUUCAUGCUGUCAUCUCAUUUUUACACUAACAGAAGGCCAGCAUCUGCCGCACAUGGAAGCAGAACUAUCUGCUAUUUUUUUCUCUCUCUUUUUUUUUGUCAUUUGCAAUAAAAUUUCAACAAACCUCCCUCAGGCCUCCUCAGGAGAUACAACGGGCUGUGAUGGGAGGCGAAGGAUUUCAACAGUACUCCUUCUCUCUGAUGGAUGGAGACUUCACUGCUACCCAGCUGGAGAAAGCUAGAUAGAAAGAGGCAGGGAGGACACAGUCCUUUUUGCCUGAGGAGGCCAAUCUGUCUGGGAGUAGAUCCUACAUGCAUCAAACCAGAACCUGUGUUUGCCCUUUCUCCCUCUCUUCUGUUUCUGCAGCCUGUGGUCUUCUUCGCCCUAGGGCCAGGUUGUGACCACUUGAAGUAGGCUGGUGGUCCCAGCAGACGCUGAGGCUCAGACAUGCCAUGAGCAGGAGGGAAUUAGAGUCAUUAGAACUGGAAGGGCGACAGAGGACGAGUCCUUCGCUCUGCAAAGUAAAUUUAAGAAGAAAACAGACAAAGUGAGAGGAUGUACUAUGUCAGUCAGUCCACUGAGAAACAUAUAUCCAAUAUGUAGUGCAUGGAUGUAUACAUACAGAUGAUAUAUAGUAUUUAUACAAAGAGUAUAUGUUGUGUAUGGCCAUUACACAUGUGAAUAAUAUGUUUAAACUGAAUAUGUUUUAUAUACAUAAGUUAAAACAUGUGAACCUUUGGAAUCUGUGCUGGACAGGUCAAUGUAAUAUGUGAUGAGAAGAAGACAGGUGUGUAAAGUCAGUUUGUCUUUUGAGAAUAAUCAAGCUGGAAAAGCACAGAAUGGCCUAAGGCUAGCAGUUUUAAACCAAUGGUUUCAAUUUUGUUUUUGGUGUUGUGUAUUCGAGAAUUAAGUGUUAAAAUAAGAUAGGCAUGUACUUGCAAAGUGCGAGAGAGAAUAGAUAAGACUCGGCCAGAAAGAUUGAAACAAAAGGGAAUAUAAAACAGUUCUGUGUUCUUUUCAAUAGUAUGUUUUCAGUUUAGCAUAUUUACUUUAUCAUCCAUCCAUCCAUCCAUAUAUUAUCUAUAAAGUUUCACAUUUUAAAGCAAUAACCAGUGUUUUGUAAAGGUGGAAACUGAUCAAAUUACCAAGAAAUGAGGUGCCCCAAAAUAGGCAACUGGCCCGGUUCAUCACGGCUGCUCAAGGUGCUAGCACAGUAAAAUAAUCUCCCUGUGUCUCCCUUUCUUCAGUGGUUUAUAACAUUUUUUUUUUUUUAAAUCAUCCUGUUUCUUAUCUUUGCUGGAGAGCGUUUUACUAUUGUCACACAUAAUAUGAGUCAGUCUGCAUUCUUCCCCGUGUUACUGUUUAAAACCAGAUAGCAAAAUUUAUCUCUGUAAAGUAAUAGAGCAAAAUGGUGCAUGCUUAACUUCACACACAUCCAAAUUAUAAAUUCAAAUGUCUUGCGUAAAGGGCACACAGUUUCAAAUUGCUGUACAUUUUAAGGUUUAACACAGAAAUCCAUGUCCAGCUUUUGUUUAAAAGAAAAUAUUUCCCAGUCUGACCCUCUAAGAAAGAGCCGCAUCCAUCAGAUGGAUUACCCUCCAUAUACAUUAGCCUGUCUUUGAGCUGCCAUUAUUCCAUUAACUUCAGCCCGGGCAGUUUCCAUUAUCUUUACACAUGCAGAAUGUUGAGCUAAAGCUGGAGCAAUUAUCUGCUUUUUAAGCAAGGUCAGCCUGGUGACCUGAGGGAACUGAGUAUCCGCUGGUCACUGUAUUAACAGUCAGACAUUACGCUAUGGGGACAGUCGGUCAAACACACUGUGAGAGAAGUACUUGUCAUUGUCUGCUCUUUGCAAUUAAAACUCAUUUCCAUUUACAAAAUGUACAAUAGUGGUUAGAACAAUUGAAACUGAAUACGUGAGAUGACUGAGAUAAUGAAGAGGCAAAUGCAUGUCGCUUUGUUCAACAAAAAAGCCUUUGACAGGGUUUUUUUCCUUAGUUUAACAGGAAAAUUCCAUUUCCAUUAACUCACAAAUGACUGUCUUUUGUUCAUUAGAGUGUUACCACAGUGCAGAUGAUCCGACCAUGUUGUUUUCUGUCUCAUUUGUACUGAAUUAUACAUCAAGACUAUGUUCUAGAUUUUAAGUUUUGAUGAGGCAUAUCUUGUAUGUACAGUACGAGUUACCUGCAGAAUAUGACAAUGAAUAAAAUUCCACGCAUA